UUAAGCGACUAAGCGUACACGGUGGAUGCCCUGGCAGUCAGAGGCGAUGAAGGACGUGCUAAUCUGCGAAAAGCGUCGGUAAGGUGAUAUGAACCGUUAUAGCCGGCGAUGUCCGAAUGGGGAAACCCAGUGCAAUUCGUUGCACUAUCGUUAACUGAAUACAUAGGUUAACGAGGCGAACCGGGGGAACUGAAACAUCUAAGUACCCCGAGGAAAAGAAAUCAACCGAGAUUCCCCCAGUAGCGGCGAGCGAACGGGGAGCAGCCCAGAGUCUGAAUCAGCUUGUGUGUUAGUGGAACGGUCUGGAAAGUCCGACGGUACAGGGUGAUAGUCCCGUACACCAAAAUGCACAGGCUGUGAACUCGAAGAGUAGGGCGGGACACGUGGUAUCCUGUCUGAAUAUGGGGGGACCAUCCUCCAAGGCUAAAUACUCCUGACUGACCGAUAGUGAACCAGUACCGUGAGGGAAAGGCGAAAAGAACCCCGGCGAGGGGAGUGAAAAAGAACCUGAAACCGUGUACGUACAAGCAGUGGGAGCACCUUUAUGGUGUGACUGCGUACCUUUUGUAUAAUGGGUCAGCGACUUAUAUUCUGUAGCAAGGUUAACCGUAUAGGGGAGCCGCAGGGAAACCGAGUCUUAACUGGGCGUUAAGUUGCAGGGUAUAGACCCGAAACCCGGUGAUCUAGCCAUGGGCAGGUUGAAGGUUGGGUAACACUAACUGGAGGACCGAACCGACUAAUGUUGAAAAAUUAGCGGAUGACUUGUGGCUGGGGGUGAAAGGCCAAUCAAACCGGGAGAUAGCUGGUUCUCCCCGAAAGCUAUUUAGGUAGCGCCUCGUGAACUCAUCUUCGGGGGUAGAGCACUGUUUCGGCUAGGGGGUCAUCCCGACUUACCAACCCGAUGCAAACUACGAAUACCGAAGAAUGUUAUCACGGGAGACACACGGCGGGUGCUAACGUCCGUCGUGAAGAGGGAAACAACCCAGACCGCCAGCUAAGGUCCCAAAGUCAUGGUUAAGUGGGAAACGAUGUGGGAAGGCACAGACAGCCAGGAUGUUGGCUUAGAAGCAGCCAUCAUUUAAAGAAAGCGUAAUAGCUCACUGGUCGAGUCGGCCUGCGCGGAAGAUGUAACGGGGCUAAACCAUGCACCGAAGCUGCGGCAGCGACACGAUGUGUUGUUGGGUAGGGGAGCGUUCUGUAAGCCUGCGAAGGUGGCCUGUGAGGGUUGCUGGAGGUAUCAGAAGUGCGAAUGCUGACAUAAGUAACGAUAAAGCGGGUGAAAAGCCCGCUCGCCGGAAGACCAAGGGUUCCUGUCCAACGUUAAUCGGGGCAGGGUGAGUCGACCCCUAAGGCGAGGCCGAAAGGCGUAGUCGAUGGGAAACAGGUUAAUAUUCCUGUACUUGGUGUUACUGCGAAGGGGGGACGGAGAAGGCUAUGUUAGCCGGGCGACGGUUGUCCCGGUUUAAGCAUGUAGGCUGGUUAUCCAGGCAAAUCCGGAUAAUCAAGGCUGAGGUGUGAUGACGAGGUACUACGGUGCUGAAGUAACAAAUGCCCUGCUUCCAGGAAAAGCCUCUAAGCAUCAGGUAACAUCAAAUCGUACCCCAAACCGACACAGGUGGUCAGGUAGAGAAUACCAAGGCGCUUGAGAGAACUCGGGUGAAGGAACUAGGCAAAAUGGUGCCGUAACUUCGGGAGAAGGCACGCUGGUGUGUAGGUGAAGUCCCUGCGGAUGGAGCUGAGACCAGUCGAAGAUACCAGCUGGCUGCAACUGUUUAUUAAAAACACAGCACUGUGCAAACACGAAAGUGGACGUAUACGGUGUGACGCCUGCCCGGUGCCGGAAGGUUAAUUGAUGGGGUUAUCCGUAAGGAGAAGCUCUUGAUCGAAGCCCCGGUAAACGGCGGCCGUAACUAUAACGGUCCUAAGGUAGCGAAAUUCCUUGUCGGGUAAGUUCCGACCUGCACGAAUGGCGUAAUGAUGGCCAGGCUGUCUCCACCCGAGACUCAGUGAAAUUGAACUCGCUGUGAAGAUGCAGUGUACCCGCGGCAAGACGGAAAGACCCCGUGAACCUUUACUAUAGCUUGACACUGAACAUUGAGCCUUGAUGUGUAGGAUAGGUGGGAGGCUUUGAAGCGUGGACGCCAGUCUGCGUGGAGCCAACCUUGAAAUACCACCCUUUAAUGUUUGAUGUUCUAACGUUGGCCCCUAAUCGGGGUUGCGGACAGUGUCUGGUGGGUAGUUUGACUGGGGCGGUCUCCUCCCAAAGCGUAACGGAGGAGCACGAAGGUUAGCUAAUCCUGGUCGGACAUCAGGAGGUUAGUGCAAUGGCAUAAGCUAGCUUGACUGCGAGCGUGACGGCGCGAGCAGGUGCGAAAGCAGGUCAUAGUGAUCCGGUGGUUCUGAAUGGAAGGGCCAUCGCUCAACGGAUAAAAGGUACUCCGGGGAUAACAGGCUGAUACCGCCCAAGAGUUCAUAUCGACGGCGGUGUUUGGCACCUCGAUGUCGGCUCAUCACAUCCUGGGGCUGAAGUAGGUCCCAAGGGUAUGGCUGUUCGCCAUUUAAAGUGGUACGCGAGCUGGGUUUAGAACGUCGUGAGACAGUUCGGUCCCUAUCUGCCGUGGGCGCUGGAGAAUUGAGGGGGGCUGCUCCUAGUACGAGAGGACCGGAGUGGACGCAUCACUGGUGUUCGGGUUGUCAUGCCAAUGGCACUGCCCGGUAGCUAAAUGCGGAAGAGAUAAGUGCUGAAAGCAUCUAAGCACGAAACUUGCCCCGAGAUGAGUUCUCCCUGAGACUUUAAGUCUCCUGAAGGAACGUUGAAGACGACGACGUUGAUAGGCCGGGUGUGUAAGCGCAGCGAUGCGUUGAGCUAACCGGUACUAAUGAACCGUGAGGCUUAACCUU
rnacentral:rRNA from 2 species